AAGAAGAACACCUUAGAAUUUAGUGAGUGAAAACGUUUAAAAGGUUGAAAAUGGCACAUAUAUACAUAGUCACGGGGGUAAGCAUGGGAGCGAGCACGCAUGGCCUUGACUGGGCCCAUACUGAACCUUAAAGAGAGUUUUAUGUGCGUUUUCAUCAUGGGUUGGACUCCGGCCAUGCUGAUAAGCAUGGCCUGGUGUUGCAACCUGUGAUGCCCUCAAAAACCAU
rnacentral:lncRNA from 1 species